CCUGGUGGCAUUACCGCAGUGGUCCCACCCGUACCCAUUCCGAACACGGCCGUGAAACGCUGCAGGGCCGAUGGUAGUGCCUGUCUAGCUUGCGCGAGAGUAGGUCGCCGCCAGGG
rnacentral:rRNA from 1 species